GCCCUAGUAGCUUAAAUCAAAGCGCCGGUCUUGUAAUCCGGAAACGAAGGUUAAAGUCCUCCCUAAGGCC
rnacentral:tRNA from 1 species